rnacentral:rRNA from 1 species
GAUGAACGCUGGCGGCGUGCCUAAUACAUGCAAGUCGAGCGAACGGACGAGAAGCUUGCUUCUCGGAUGUUAGCGGCGGACGGGUGAGUAACACGUGGAUAACCUACCUAUAAGACUGGGAUAACUUCGGGAAACCGGAGCUAAUACCGGAUAAUAUUUUGAACCGCAUGGUUCAAUGGUGAAAGACGGUCUUGCUGUCACUUAUAGAUGGAUCCGCGCUGUAUUAGCUAGUUGGUAAGGUAACGGCUUACGAAGGGAACGAGGCAUAGCCGACCGGAGCGGGUGAUAGGCGACACUGGAGCUGAGACAGCGUCCAGACGCCUGCGGGAGGCAGCAGUAGGGAAUCUUCCGCAGUGGGCGGAAGCCUGGCGGAGCAACGCCGCGUGAGAUAUGAAGGUGCUCGGAUCGUAAAGCUCUGUUACUAGGGAAGAACCGAUGUGGAAGUAACUGUGCCGAUCUUGACGGUACCUAAUCAGAAAGCAACGGCUAACUACGUG